rnacentral:tRNA from 1 species
ACCUGGAUGGCUCAGUUGGUUGAGUGCCUGACUUUGGCUCAGGUCAUGAUCUCACAGGUCGUGGGUUUGAGUCCUGCAUCAGGCU